rnacentral:rRNA from 1 species
GACGAACGCUGGCGGCGUGCCUAAUACAUGCAAGUUGAGCGAUGAAGAUUGGUGCUUGCACCAAUUUGAAGAGCAGCGAACGGGUGAGUAACGCGUGGGGAAUCUGCCUUUGAGCGGGGGACAACAUUUGGAAACGAAUGCUAAUACCGCAUAACAACUUUAAACAUAAGUUUUAAGUUUGAAAGAUGCAAUUGCAUCACUCAAAGAUGAUCCCGCGUUGUAUUAGCUAGUUGGUGAGGUAAAGGCUCACCAAGGCGAUGAUACAUAGCCGACCUGAGAGGGUGAUCGGCCACAUUGGGAAUGAGACACGGCCCAAACUCCUACGGGAGGCAGCAGUAGGGAAUCUUCGGCAAUGGACGAAAGUCUGACCGAGCAACGCCGCGUGAAUGAAGAAGGUUUUCGGAUCGUAAAACUCUGUUGGUAGAGAAGAACGUUGGUGAGAGUGGAAAGCUCAUCAAGUGACGGUAACUACCCAGAAAGGGACGGCUAACUACGUG